rnacentral:rRNA from 1 species
AGUGAACGCUGGCGGUAGGCCUAACACAUGCAAGUCGAACGGCAGCACAGUAAGAGCUUGCUCUUACGGGUGGCGAGUGGCGGACGGGUGAGGAAUACAUCGGAAUCUACUUUUUCGUGGGGGAUCACGUAGGGAAACUUACGCUAAUACCGCAUACGACCUACGGGUGAAAGCAGGGGAUCUUCGGACCUUGCGCGAUUGAAUUAGCCGAUGUCGGAUUAGCUAGUUGGCGGGGAAAAGGCCCACCAAGGCGACGAUCCGUAGCUGGUCUGAGAGGAUGAUCCGCCACACUGGAACUGAGACACGGUCCAGACUCCUACAGGAGGCAGCAGUGGGGAAUAUUGGACAAUGGGCGCAAGCCUGAUCCAGCCAUACCGCGUGGGUGAAGAAGGCCUUCGGGUUGUAAAGCCCUUUUGUUGGGAAAGAAAAGCAGCAGGUUAAUACCCCGCUGUUCUGACGGUACCCAAAGAAUAAGCACCGGCUAACUUCGUG